GUUGAACGCUGGCGGCAUGCCUUACACAUGCAAGUCGAACGGUAACAGGUCUUCGGAUGCUGACGAGUGGCGAACGGGUGAGUAAUACAUCGGAACGUGCCUAGUAGUGGGGGAUAACUACUCGAAAGAGUGGCUAAUACCGCAUGAGAUCUACGGAUGAAAGCAGGGGAUCGCAAGACCUUGUGCUACUAGAGCGGCCGAUGGCAGCUUAGGUAGUUGGUGGGGGAAAAGCUUACCAAGCCGACGAUAGGCAGCUGGUCAGAGAGGACGAUCAGCCACACUGGGAGUGAGACACGGCCCAGACUCCAACGGGAGGCAGCAGUGGGGAAUUGUGGACAAUGGGCGCAAGCCUGAUCCAGCAAUGCCGCGUGCAGGAUGAAGGCCUUCGGGGUGUAAACUGCUUUUGUACGGAACGAAAAGCCCCGGGUUAAUACCCUGGGGUCAUGACGGUACCGUAAGAAUAAGCACCGGCUAACUACGUGCCAGCCGCCGCCGUAA
rnacentral:rRNA from 1 species